AAAGAAACGUCUCGAAGACGAAUUGAAUGAUUAUUCUGCAAUUUGUUCGCAGUUUUGCGUUACGCAAUUUUAUUCUGCAAAUACUCACUGGCACGAUACAUUUAUGUGUCUAAAAGUAUAUAUUUUAUUAUAUUUUAUUGCAUGUUGUACAGAUGGGAUGUGAUUUUAUUAAAAAUGUUACAGAGAAUGCAAUAUGCAUAAUUACAGUGCAAAAUAUAAAUAUAUAUUUUAAUUAGCCUCAUUGAAUAUUGGAUAUAAUUAAAUUAAGCCGCUACAACUGGUAAAAUAAUGUGAUUGUUACAUAUGAAUCAGCUGUUGGCAACUUGGUAGCGAUAGAGCAGAUGUGUGGGACGAUGCCUCAGAUGUCGCUACAAUGCUGCUUGCGUGCUUUACUUACAUAUAGACAUAUAUUGUAGAAAUAAUUUACAACUGCGAACACGCCUCACUAAUUUAUUAGAAAUUUGUAGAUACGUGUGUGUAAGUGUGUGUUAGAUUAAUAUGUAUACAAGUGUAUAUAAAAACGUACGUAUAAACGAAUGAUAUUGAUAUUAUAAACGUUUUGAUUCUAAGUAUUAAUUACAAAUAACAAUUUAUUAUUGCAUCACAGAAAAGCUCGUUCAUUUGCAUGUGCUUGAGCUACUGCAAAACUUGAAACAAUGUGGCUUAUUAAAUCUACGUUAUUCGUUAGAUUAGUUCACCUCUAUUAUUACCUUGUUUACGUAUCAAUAUAUUUCUAUAUUGAUAAAACAUAAAUGCUGAUAAAAUAUUAUCAGAAAUAUGCACACUAUACUGCAAAAGCUAUUUAAAAUGCAAUAUGAAGUAUUAAUAGUGGUCAGCUUUCAGAUGCAAAACAUGUCGCGAUUAACACACAAAAACAAUUUAUAACAAAAUAACGAAUUUAAAAUAAUUUUUUUGUAAAGCGGUAAGAAAAUUACCAUUUUAUACAUGCACGCAUCGCGACUUAUCAGAAAUGAGUUUUUAGCAGAAUUUUUUUCGACACUCAUGUACCAGUAUGAUUGAUUGAGCCAGAGACAAAGAUGAACAUUUCAUAAGCAACACUCUUUUGUUCGCGGAACUCAAGUUCCAUGAUCAAGUGUGCCUGCAAGGAAUAUCGAAGGCAAAAGCUGAGCUAAUGAUCGUCGGUCGUGCACGUCACGUGAUUAUAUGGGACUUGAUUGGCGGACAAUCAUCGGAAUCAAUGAAGUCCUGCCCGUUAUAAGCAUGUUACAAGUCCGCUUGACUGCUACGCGCGCACUCUCGCGCGCUCGACUACCAGAUCCGUCGGUGACGUCCGCGCGUUGGUGUGCGGCAAGGAAAGUGAAACGCGCUGGAACUCCUACUCGAAAAACACAAGCGAACCGUGUGCUUCUCAUUAGUAGUACUGAUGUCCGCUGGAAGCAUCUCACGAACGAAAUAAAGGUUUCGAGCCCAAGAGGAUUUUGGUUCCGGGUCCCAUAAGGAGGUAUAUGUGAAAGUUCGUCAUUUAUCGUAGACAGAAAAGAAAGUUUUUUUUACUUCCUUUUUCCGAGCCACUACACGUACGUUACGCGCGUGUAUAUACGUACUCAGGAGUCGCUCGUAUACGAGUGUGUCCACAAUUCAUAUCGUCGUGCGAUUAGAAAUCACGGACGUGCGUGCGUAUGCGAUCAAAAACACGUACAUGUACGUGUGCAAUUUUAUUGUUAACCGACAAGUCAAAUGCCGAUCGUGAAGGAACGCUCCGAACAGUAGUCGCGGAUUAUUUGCAUCGCGUUUCUUAUCCCUGCGAUUGCUUAUUGCAUUUCAGUUGCAUACCUUUCGGCGAAAACAAAUGCCUUAUCAAUUAUACAGACUUCUUUAUUUUCCUUUAACUUCUUUAUUUUCUAAACUAAUCAUGUUGUAUUGUGAAGAAAAAUACAAAGUGAAGUGCUAUCGCUACUCUGGUGUUCGGGUACCCGCAUAGUUGGCUUUUUUCCAAAUAAAUAGGAUAACGGAAUCUUACAUAGAGAGAUUAAAUAAAUGGAAAAUAAAAUCAUAUAUAAUUGUUCCGUAUAAAAGUUUCAAAGAUAUUGCUACUUGUAGAGAUUCUUGUAAAAUGUACGUCCCAAUUUUAUACUCAGAAUUCACUCACGAAGACUUCUCCGGAUUCUCAAGUAAUAAUGCAGCCAAGUGUUGCAAGAAUACAGUUUUUUUCUUCCAUUUAUAUUUGUUCCGCCGAUAUAAAAAAUAAAGAAUUACAUCAAUCCAGAAUCGUAAUAAACAUUGAAGAUUUUUCAAUGUUUCAAACAUUUUUCCAACAACUAGUGGAUUCCUCCCCUUCGAUGAAAAUUACCUUGCUGAUGAACAGAUCCAGCCACGACUAUUAAAAAUUCUCAAUCCGCUUUACGCAACCUGCGUCGACUUGUGCCCCAAAAGUGCCUCUUUGCCUAUGACGCACCCCCUUUGUUUCGCGAUUGCAGCGUCUUAACGCUUGUUACGCCCUCGGCAAUUUCAGACAUCCCAGAGUGUAACUGUUCCCGCGGUGGCGAAAGCGAGCUUGACACGUGGGAAUAUCGGGCCUCAAUAACAAAACCGCGCGCGUAUUAAUUAUACGCGCAUCAAGCACGUGCAUCCGCAAGUACGACUCUCGCCGUUUCUUGCGUCGCGUGUCCGCGAACGUGUCGGACGCGAAAAUGGUUCUCGCGUAACGCCGCGCGGCUUUAAUAUUCAGCGGGCGACGAAACGUUGGCCCGAUUACGAAACCGCGUUGCGGGAGCACCUGGUAAUUCGAUAAUAAUGCAUGUAUACGUGGGUAAGACGCGCAACACGCGCCAUAAGACGACACCGGUCGAACACGACAAGCGGUUUCGAAAUUUCGGGGGACGAGAGGCUGCACAGAAGCCGGGACCCCUCGUCGCAGGUGCGUUUCCGAUGUACACGCGCACUGCGUUGCGUCUGAUCCGACGAAAUCAACGUCGUUCAUCUCUCUCGCUCGAGAAAGUUUCAUUGCGGUGUCGCAAUGAAACUUUACUCCAGCCGUCGAAACCUGCGAGCCACCUCGCAGCAGUUCGCAGCUUGAUCGGCAGGUUGUAAUUUCGAAGGCUGCUAUCUGCCGUGGCGUAUCGCUACAGAUGCGAGAAGCACGGAACGACGAGCGACAGGAUUGCGCGUAUGUUUGUACUUUAAAGUUUGUGCGACGUGAAAAUACGCACAUUAAGAAAUCAACAGGUGAUAAAGGUUUACAAAAAUUUUUCUAACGACUCUUACGGAUUUAUUUAAACUCGGUGGACUAUUUAGGUUUGCGCAACAAUCUGUUACACGCGAUAAAUUGUAUUGCAUGUAAUAUUGUUGAACAUAUAUUCGUAAUUAAAAACAUUUAAAAAACUGGA
rnacentral:lncRNA from 1 species